GAGUUUGAUCCUGGCUCAGAACGUACGCUGGCGGCACGCCUAACACAUGCAAGUCGAACGAAGUAGCAAUACUUAGUGGCAGACGGGUGAGUAACAUGUAGGUAUCUGCCCUUUGGCCUGGAAUAACACGAGGAAACUUGUGCUAAUACCGGAUAAGUCUUUACAGAGAAAGCUUUAUGCACCAUUGGAUGAGCCUGCACUUGAUUAGUUUGUUGGUGGGGUAAUGGCCUACCAAGACUGUGAUCAAUAGCUGAUUUGAGAGGACGAUCAGCCACAUUGGGACUGAGACACGGCCCAAACUCCUACGGGAGGCAGCAGUGGGGAAUCUUGCACAAUGGAGGAAACUCUGAUGCAGCGAUGCCGCGUGAGUGAAGAAGGCCCUUGGGUUGUAAAGCUCUUUCGUCGGGGAAGAAAAUGACUGUACCCGAAUAAGAAGGUCCGGCUAACUUCGUGCCAGCAGCCGCGGUAAUACGAAGGGACCUAGCGUAGUUCGGAAUUACUGGGCUUAAAGAGUUCGUAGGUGGUUGAAAUAGUUGGUGGUGAAAUCCCAGAGCUUAACUCUGGAACUGCCAUCAAAACUUUUCAGCUAGAGUAUGAUAGAGGAAAGCAGAAUUUCUAGUGUAGAGGUGAAAUUCGUAGAUAUUAGAAAGAAUACCAAUUGCGAAGGCAGCUUUCUGGAUCAUUACUGACACUGGGGAACGAAAGCAUGGGUAGCGAAGAGGAUUAGAUACCCUCGUAGUCCAUGCCGUAAACGAUGUGUGUUAGACGUUGGAAAUUUAUUUUCAGUGUCGCAGGAAACCGAUAAACACACCGCCUGGGGAGUACGACCGCAAGGUUAAAACUCAAUGAAUUGACGGGGACCCG
rnacentral:rRNA from 1 species